UACUUAAGAGCAUCUAGUUUGUUGGAUUAAAUCCCACUAUGUGCUCUAAUAACUCUAGACGAGUAGGUGGCGGAAGUGCACUAGUAGGUGGCGGAAGGUUGGUUUAAACAAAACAUCACCAGAAGAAGACAACGAACUGAUCUCAGAGUCAGAUCGUGUUUGAAAUGUGGCCGCAAGAUUAGACAUCGGACAUCAAUGGGCGAUGAACAGCAGUUCUCCACGGCCUUCCACUCUUCCUUGAAAAGGACCUUACUGAUUUUACAAGACAUGUUUUGUAAGUAAUUUUGUCUGUUAUAUUCUGGUUAUUUAGUGUAAUGCAGACAAUUCUUGAGACCUGGCAA